ACGGAAGGCAGCAGUGGGGAAUCUUCCGCAAUGGGCGACAGCAUGACGGAGCAAUGCCGCGUGAGCGAAGAAGGCCUUCGGGUUGUAAAGCUCUGUCCUUAUUGAAGAGAGGUAUUAGUGUGAAUAAUGCUGAUAUAGGACGGUAAAUAAGGAGGAAGCCCCGGCUAACUACGUGCCAGCAGCCGCGGUAAUACGUAGGGGGCAAGCGUUGUCCGGAAUCACUGGGCGUAAAGGGCGCGCAGGCGGUUCAGUAAGUCGGCGGUGACAACUGAGAGCUCAACUCUCAGCCUGCCAUCUAUACUGCUGAACUUUAGUAUGGAAUAGGAGAAUUGAAUUCCUAGUGUAGCGGUGAAAUGCGUAUAUAUUAGGAGGAACACCAGUGGCGAAGGCGAUUCUCUGGGCCGUAACUGUCGCUGAGGCGCGAAAGCGUGGUGAGCAAACAGGAUUAUAUACCCUGGUA
rnacentral:rRNA from 1 species